rnacentral:rRNA from 1 species
GAAUUCACUAGUGAUUAGAGUUUGAUCAUGGCUCAGGAUGAACGCUGGCGGCGUGCUUAACACAUGCAAGUCGAACGGGGUCAUUAAGGAAAAAUCCUUCGGGAUUCGGAAUUCUUGACCUAGUGGCGGACGGGUGAGUAACGCGUGAGCAAUCUGCCUUUGGAUGGGGGAUAACAGCCGGAAACGACUGCUAAUACCGCAUAAUGCAGCGGGACCGCAUGAUUUUGCUGCCAAAGAUUUAUCGUCCAAAGAUGAGCUCGCGUCUGAUUAGCCAGUUGGCGGGGUAACGGCCCACCAAAGCGACGAUCAGUAGCCGGACUGAGAGGUUGAACGGCCACAUUGGGACUGAGACACGGCCCAGACUCCUACGGGAGGCAGCAGUGGGGAAUAUUGCGCAAUGGGGGAAACCCUGACGCAGCAACGCCGCGUGAGUGAAGAAGGCCUUCGGGUUGUAAAGCUCUUUAAUCAGGGACGAAGAAUGACGGUACCUGAAGAAUAAGCUCCGGCUAACUACGUGCCAGCAGCCGCGGUAAUACGUAGGGAGCAAGCGUUAUCCGGAUUUACUGGGUGUAAAGGGCGUGUAGGCGGGCCUGCAAGUCAGAAGUGAAAUCUGGGGGCUUAACCCCCCAAACUGCUUU